rnacentral:rRNA from 1 species
CGGACGAUUCAAAGCUUGCUUUUGCAUCGUUAGCGGCGGACGGGUGAGUACACGUGGGCAACCUGCCCUGUAGACGGGGAUAACACCGAGAAAUCGGUGCUAAUACCGGAUAACACGAAAGACCGCAUGGUCUUUCGUUGAAAGGCGGCGCAAGCUGUCGCUACAGGAUGGGCCCGCGGCGCAUUAGCUAGUUGGUGAGGUAACGGCUCACCAAGGCGACGAUGCGUAGCCGACCUGAGAGGGUGAUCGGCCACACUGGGACUGAGACACGGCCCAGACUCCUACGGGAGGCAGCAGUAGGGAAUCUUCCGCAAUGGACGAAAGUCUGACGGAGCAACGCCGCGUGAGCGAAGAAGGCCUUCGGGUCGUAAAGCUCUGUUGUUAGGGAAGAACAAGUACCGCAGUCACUGGCGGUACCUUGACGGUACCUAACGAGGAAGCCACGGCUAACUACGUGCCAGCAGCCGCGGUAAUACGUAGGUGGCAAGCGUUGUCCGGAAUUAUUGGGCGUAAAGCGCGCGCAGGCGGUUCCUUAAGUCUGAUGUGAAAGCCCACGGCUCAACCGUGGAGGGUCAUUGGAAACUGGGGGACUUGAGUGCAGAAGAGGAGAGCGGAAUUCCACGUGUAGCGGUGAAAUGCGUAGAGAUGUGGAGGAACACCAGUGGCGAAGGCGGCUCUCUGGUCUGUAACUGACGCUGAGGCGCGAAAGCGUGGGGAGCAACAGGAUAAAUACCCUG